CGUAGGGUGCGAGCGUUGUCCGGAAUUAUUGGGCGUAAAGGGCUCGUAGGCGGUUUGUUGCGUCAGGAGUGAAAACUCGGGGCUUAACCCCGAGCCUGCUUCUGAUACGGGCAGACUAGAGGUAUGCAGGGGAGAACGGAAUUCCUGGUGUAGCGGUGAAAUGCGCAGAUAUCAGGAGGAACACCGGUGGCGAAGGCGGUUCUCUGGGCAUUACCUGACGCUGAGGAGCGAAAGUGUGGGGAGCGAACAGGAUUAGAUACCCUGGUAGUCCACACCGUAAACGUUGGGCGCUAGGUGUGGGACUCAUUCCACGAGUUCCGUGCCGCAGCUAACGCAUUAAGCGCCCCGCCUGGGGAGUACGGCCGCAAGGCUA
rnacentral:rRNA from 1 species